UGCGUCCUACGGGGCGCAGCAGUGGGGAAUAUUGCACAAUGGGGGAGACCCUGAUGCAGCGACGCCGCGUGAGUGAAGAAGUAUUUCGGUAUGUAAAGCUCUAUCAGCAGGGAAGAAGAAAGACGGUACCUGACUAAGAAGCCCCGGCUAACUACGUGCCAGCAGCCGCGGUAAUACGUAGGGGGCAAGCGUUAUCCGGAUUUACUGGGCGUAAAGGGAGCGUAGACGGCUGUGCAAGUCUGAAGUGAAAGCACAGGGCUCAACCUUGGGACUGCUUUGGA
rnacentral:rRNA from 1 species